UUAAGUUAUUAAGGGCGCACGGUGGAUGCCUUGGCACUAGAAGCCGAUGAAGGACGUUACUAACGACGAUAUGCUUUGGGGAGCUGUAAGUAAGCUUUGAUCCAGAGAUUUCCGAAUGGGGAAACCCAGCAUGAGUUAUGUCAUGUUAUCGAUAUGUGAAUACAUAGCAUAUCAGAAGGCACACCCGGAGAACUGAAACAUCUUAGUACCCGGAGGAAGAGAAAGAAAAUUCGAUUCCCUUAGUAGCGGCGAGCGAAACGGGAAGAGCCCAAACCAACAAGCUUGCUUGUUGGGGUUGUAGGACACUCUAUACGGAGUUACAAAAAGACGACAUUAGACGAAUCAUCUGGAAAGAUGAAUCAAAGAAGGUAAUAAUCCUGUAGUCGAAAAUGUUGUCUCUCUUGAGUGGAUCCUGAGUACGACGGAGCACGUGAAAUUCCGUCGGAGUCUGGGAGGACCAUCUCCUAAGGCUAAAUACUCUCUAGUGACCGAUAGUGAACCAGUACCGUGAGGGAAAGGUGAAAAGCACCCCGGAAGGGGAGUGAAAUAGAACCUGAAACCGUGUGCUUACAAGUAGUCAGAGCCCGUUAAUGGGUGAUGGCGUGCCUUUUUGUAGAAUGAACCGGCGAGUUACGAUUUGAUGCAAGGUUAAGCAGUAAAUGUGGAGCCGUAGCGAAAAGCGAGUCUGAAUAGGGCGUUUAGUAUUUGGUCGUAGACCCGAAACCAGGUGAUCUACCCUUGGUCAGGUUGAAGUUCAGGUAACACUGAAUGGAGGACCGAACCGACUUACGUUGAAAAGUGAGCGGAUGAACUGAGGGUAGCGGAGAAAUUCCAAUCGAACCUGGAGAUAGCUGGUUCUCUCCGAAAUAGCUUUAGGGCUAGCCUCAAGUGAUGAUUAUUGGAGGUAGAGCACUGUUUGGACGAGGGGCCCCUCUCGGGUUACCGAAUUCAGACAAACUCCGAAUGCCAAUUAAUUUAACUUGGGAGUCAGAACAUGGGUGAUAAGGUCCGUGUUCGAAAGGGAAACAGCCCAGACCACCAGCUAAGGUCCCAAAAUAUAUGUUAAGUGGAAAAGGAUGUGGCGUUGCCCAGACAACUAGGAUGUUGGCUUAGAAGCAGCCAUCAUUUAAAGAGUGCGUAAUAGCUCACUAGUCGAGUGACACUGCGCCGAAAAUGUACCGGGGCUAAACAUAUUACCGAAGCUGUGGAUUGUCCUUUGGACAAUGGUAGGAGAGCGUUCUAAGGGCGUUGAAGCAUGAUCGUAAGGACAUGUGGAGCGCUUAGAAGUGAGAAUGCCGGUGUGAGUAGCGAAAGACGGGUGAGAAUCCCGUCCACCGAUUGACUAAGGUUUCCAGAGGAAGGCUCGUCCGCUCUGGGUUAGUCGGGUCCUAAGCUGAGGCCGACAGGCGUAGGCGAUGGAUAACAGGUUGAUAUUCCUGUACCACCUAUAAUCGUUUUAAUCGAUGGGGGGACGCAGUAGGAUAGGCGAAGCGUGCGAUUGGGUUGCACGUCUAAGCAGUAAGGCUGAGUAUUAGGCAAAUCCGGUACUCAUUAAGGCUGAGCUGUGAUGGGGGAGAAGACAUUGUGUCUUCGAGUCGUUGAUUUCACACUGCCGAGAAAAGCCUCUAGAUAGAAAAUAGGUGCCCGUACCGCAAACCGACACAGGUAGUCAAGAUGAGAAUUCUAAGGUGAGCGAGCGAACUCUCGUUAAGGAACUCGGCAAAAUGACCCGUAACUUCGGGAGAAGGGGUGCUCUUUAGGGUUAACGCCCAGAAGAGCCGCAGUGAAUAGGCCCAAGCGACUGUUUAUCAAAAACACAGGUCUCUGCUAAACCGUAAGGUGAUGUAUAGGGGCUGACGCCUGCCCGGUGCUGGAAGGUUAAGAGGAGUGGUUAGCUUCUGCGAAGCUACGAAUCGAAGCCCCAGUAAACGGCGGCCGUAACUAUAACGGUCCUAAGGUAGCGAAAUUCCUUGUCGGGUAAGUUCCGACCCGCACGAAAGGCGUAACGAUUUGGGCACUGUCUCAACGAGAGACUCGGUGAAAUCAUAGUACCUGUGAAGAUGCAGGUUACCCGCGACAGGACGGAAAAGACCCCGUGGAGCUUUACUGUAGCCUGAUAUUGAAAUUCGGCACAGCUUGUACAGGAUAGGUAGGAGCCUUUGAAACGUGAGCGCUAGCUUACGUGGAGGCGCUGGUGGGAUACUACCCUAGCUGUGUUGGCUUUCUAACCCGCACCACUUAUCGUGGUGGGAGACAGUGUCAGGCGGGCAGUUUGACUGGGGCGUCGCCUCCUAAAAGGUAACGGAGGCGCUCAAAGGUUCCCUCAGAAUGGUUGGAAAUCAUUCAUAGAGUGUAAAGGCAUAAGGGAGCUUGACUGCGAGACCUACAAGUCGAGCAGGGUCGAAAGACGGACUUAGUGAUCCGGUGGUUCCGCAUGGAAGGGCCAUCGCUCAACGGAUAAAAGCUACCCCGGGGAUAACAGGCUUAUCUCCCCCAAGAGUUCACAUCGACGGGGAGGUUUGGCACCUCGAUGUCGGCUCAUCGCAUCCUGGGGCUGUAGUCGGUCCCAAGGGUUGGGCUGUUCGCCCAUUAAAGCGGUACGCGAGCUGGGUUCAGAACGUCGUGAGACAGUUCGGUCCCUAUCCGUCGUGGGCGUAGGAAAUUUGAGAGGAGCUGUCCUUAGUACGAGAGGACCGGGAUGGACAUACCUCUGGUGUACCAGUUGUCGUGCCAACGGCAUAGCUGGGUAGCUAUGUGUGGACGGGAUAAGUGCUGAAAGCAUCUAAGCAUGAAGCCCCCCUCAAGAUGAGAUUUCCCAACUUCGGUUAUAAGAUCCCUCAAAGAUGAUGAGGUUAAUAGGUUCGAGGUGGAAGCAUGGUGACAUGUGGAGCUGACGAAUACUAAUCGAUCGAAGACUUAAUCAA
rnacentral:rRNA from 1 species